CUGUAGCUCAGAGGUAGAACACCUGCUUUUCAAACAGAAGGGUCUGGGUUCAAUCCUUGGCUGGUAGG